rnacentral:rRNA from 1 species
GACAAACGCUGGCGGCGUGCAUAAAACAUGCAAGUCGGACGAGCCAAUCCCCGCAAGGGGAAAGGCUAGUGGCGAACGGCUGAGUAACACGUAGGUGAUCUGCCCUGAAGUGGGGGAUAACGACUCGAAAGAGUCGCUAAUACCGCAUGUGACCAUCGAUUCGUUUUCGAUGCUCAAAGUCGUAAGACGCUUUAGGAGGAGCCUGCGGCGGAUUAGCUAGUUGGUGAGGAAUGGCCCACCAAGGCUUCGAUCCGUAGCUGGUCUGAGAGGAUGACCAGCCAGACUGGGACUGAGACACGGCCCAGACUCCUACGGGAGGCAGCAGUUAGGAAUUUUGCGCAAUGGGGGAAACCCUGACGCAGCCACGCCGCGUGCGGGAUGAAGGCCUUC